GGGUGCUUGGCGCAAUGGUAGCGCGCGGUCCUCCUAUUAUGAAUUAAUUAAGACUGAGGUUGAGGGUUCGAGUCCCUUGGUACUCG
rnacentral:tRNA from 1 species